rnacentral:rRNA from 1 species
GACGAACGCUGGCGGCGUGCCUAAUACAUGCAAGUAGAACGCUGAAGGCGGAGCUUGCUCUUCUGGAUGAGUUGCGAACGGGUGAGUAACGCGUAGGUAACCUGCCUGGUAGCGGGGGAUAACUAUUGGAAACGAUAGCUAAUACCGCAUAAGAGUAGAUGUUGCAUGACAUUUGCUUCAAAGGUGAAAUUGCAUCACUACCAGAUGGACCUGCGUUGUAUUAGCUAGUUGGUGGGGUAACGGCUCACCAAGGCGACGAUACAUAGACGACCAGGGAGGGGGAUCGGCCACACUGGGACGGAGACAUGGCCCAGACACCUACGGGUGGCAGCAGUAGCGAAUCUUCGGCAAUGGACGGAAGGGUGACCGAGCAACACCGCGGGAGUGACGAAGGUUGUCGUAUCGGAUGGCUCUGUUGUAAGAGAAGAACGAAUGGGAGAGUGGAAAGUUCACACAGCGACGGUAUCUGACCAGAAAGGGACGGCUAACUACGUG